rnacentral:rRNA from 1 species
UAGGGAAUCUUCCGCAAUGGGCGAAAGCCUGACGGAGCAACGCCGCGUGAGUGAUGAAGGUCUUCGGAUCGUAAAACUCUGUUAUUAGGGAAGAACAAAUGUGUAAGUAACUAUGCACGUCUUGACGGUACCUAGUCAGAAAGCCACGGCUAACUACGUGCCAGCAGCCGCGGUAAUACGUAGGUGGCAAGCGUUAUCCGGAAUUAUUGGGCGUAAAGCGCGCGUAGGCGGUUUUUUAAGUCUGAUGUGAAAGCCCACGGCUCAACCGUGGAGGGUCAUUGGAAACUGGAAAACUUGAGUGCAGAAGAGGAAAGUGGAAUUCCAUGUGUAGCGGUGAAAUGCGCAGAGAUAUGGAGGAACACCAGUGGCGAAGGCGACUUUCUGGUCUGUAACUGACGCUGAUGUGCGAAAGCGUGGGGAUCAAACAGG